AUGCACCGAAGCUGCGGCAGCGACGCUGAUGCGUUGUUGGGUAGGGGAGCGUUCUGUAAGCCUGUGAAGGUGUGCUGUGAGGUAUGCUGGAGGUAUCAGAAGUGCGAAUGCUGACAUAAGUAACGAUAAAGCGGGUGAAAAGCCCGCUCGCCGGAAGACCAAGGGUUCCUGUCCAACGUUAAUCGGGGCAGGGUGAGUCGACCCCUAAGGCGAGGCCGAAAGGCGUAGUCGAUGGGAAACAGGUUAAUAUUCCUGUACUUGGUGUUACUGCGAAGGGGGGACGGAGAAGGCUAUGUUGGCCGGGCGACGGUUGUCCCGGUUUAAGCGUGUAGGCUGGUUUUCCAGGCAAAUCCGGAAAACUAAGGCUGAGGCGUGAUGACGAGGCACUACGGUGCUGAAGCAACAAAUGCCCUGCUUCCAGGAAAAGCCUCUAAGCAUCAGGUAACAUCAAAUCGUACCCCAAACCGACACAGGUGGUCAGGUAGAGAAUACCAAGGCGCUUGAGAGAACUCGGGUGAAGGAACUAGGCAAAAUGGUGCCGUAACUUCGGGAGAAGGCACGCUGAUAUGUAGGUGAAGUCCCUCGCGGAUGGAGCUGAAAUCAGUCGAAGAUACCAGCUGGCUGCAACUGUUUAUUAAAAACACAGCACUGUGCAAACACGAAAGUGGACGUAUACGGUGUGACGCCUGCCCGGUGCCGGAAGGUUAAUUGAUGGGGUCAGCGCAAGCGAAGCUCUUGAUCGAAGCCCCGGUAAACGGCGGCCGUAACUAUAACGGUCCUAAGGUAGCGAAAUUCCUUGUCGGGUAAGUUCCGACCUGCACGAAUGGCGUAAUGAUGGCCAGGCUGUCUCCACCCGAGACUCAGUGAAAUUGAACUCGCUGUGAAGAUGCAGUGUACCCGCGGCAAGACGGAAAGACCCCGUGAACCUUUACUAUAGCUUGACACUGAACAUUGAGCCUUGAUGUGUAGGAUAGGUGGGAGGCUUUGAAGUGUGGACGCCAGUCUGCAUGGAGCCGACCUUGAAAUACCACCCUUUAAUGUUUGAUGUUCUAACGUUGACCCGUAAUCCGGGUUGCGGACAGUGUCUGGUGGGUAGUUUGACUGGGGCGGUCUCCUCCUAAAGAGUAACGGAGGAGCACGAAGGUUGGCUAAUCCUGGUCGGACAUCAGGAGGUUAGUGCAAUGGCAUAAGCCAGCUUGACUGCGAGCGUGACGGCGCGAGCAGGUGCGAAAGCAGGUCAUAGUGAUCCGGUGGUUCUGAAUGGAAGGGCCAUCGCUCAACGGAUAAAAGGUACUCCGGGGAUAACAGGCUGAUACCGCCCAAGAGUUCAUAUCGACGGCGGUGUUUGGCACCUCGAUGUCGGCUCAUCACAUCCUGGGGCUGAAGUAGGUCCCAAGGGUAUGGCUGUUCGCCAUUUAAAGUGGUACGCGAGCUGGGUUUAGAACGUCGUGAGACAGUUCGGUCCCUAUCUGCCGUGGGCGCUGGAGAACUGAGGGGGGCUGCUCCUAGUACGAGAGGACCGGAGUGGACGCAUCACUGGUGUUCGGGUUGUCAUGCCAAUGGCACUGCCCGGUAGCUAAAUGCGGAAGAGAUAAGUGCUGAAAGCAUCUAAGCACGAAACUUGCCCCGAGAUGAGUUCUCCCUGACUCCUUGAGAGUCCUGAAGGAACGUUGAAGACGACGACGUUGAUAGGCCGGGUGUGUAAGCGCAGCGAUGCGUUGAGCUAACCGGUACUAAUGAACCGUGAGGCUUAACCUUACAACGCCGAAGGUGUUU
rnacentral:rRNA from 1 species